CCUACGGGUGGCAGCAGUGGGGAAUUUUGGACAAUGGGCGCAAGCCUGAUCCAGCCAUGCCGCGUGCGGGAAGAAGGCCUUCGGGUUGUAAACCGCUUUUGUCAGGGAAGAAAUCUUCUGAGUUAAUACCUCGGGAGGAUGACGGUACCUGAAGAAUAAGCACCGGCUAACUACGUGCCAGCAGCCGCGGUAAUACGUAGGGUGCAAGCGUUAAUCGGAAUUACUGGGCGUAAAGCGUGCGCAGGCGGUUGUGCAAGACAGGUGUGAAAUCCCCGGGCUUAACCUGGGAACUGCACUUGUGACUGCACAGCUGGAGUACGGCAGAGGGGGAUGGAAUUCCGCGUGUAGCAGUGAAAUGCGUAGAUAUGCGGAGGAACACCGAUGGCGAAGGCAAUCCCCUGGGCCUGUACUGACGCUCAUGCACGAAAGCGUGGGGAGCAAACAGGAUUAGAUACCCUAGUAGUC
rnacentral:rRNA from 1 species